UACAGAGACUGCAAGCGUUAUUCGGAUUCACUGGGCGUAAAGGGUGCGCAGGCGGCCGUGUGUGUGAGGCGUGAAAGCCCGGGGCUUAACCCCGGAAUUGCACCUCAAACUACACGGCUAGAGCAUUGGAGAGGGUAGCAGAAUUCACGGUGUAGCAGUGAAAUGCGUAGAUAUCGUGAGGAAUACCAGAGGCGAAGGCGGCUACCUGGACAAUUGCUGACGCUCAGGCACGAAAGCGUGGGGAGCAAAAGGG
rnacentral:rRNA from 1 species